ACUUGGAAUAUUUCAGGUGGCUUUUAAGAUUCGCUAUUCCAAAUUGUCGUAGGGGUGUAAGAUCGAGAGAAACUAGUAAGUCUAUGUUGAUCAAAAGUGUGGACCACUACAGAAAAGGUUUUAGACAUUUGGCGAAGUUGAUGGUGGCAGAAGGACGCAUUCCGGAUAAAGACCUUAUAUAUUUUAUGACAUUGGAUGAAAUUAGAGAUUUGUUGAAUACGAGAUAUCCAAAAAUAAUAUCCA